AGUUACUACACAUUUGGAUCAACACUUCACUUCAAACGCUCUGUUGAAGUCUUUGUGCUUCCUGGUUUUAAUGUGAGCCAAUAAAGAGCUUAAGUGAAAUACAGGUGGACGCACCCAGAGAGAGAAAGAGACAGGAUGACUGGACCCAUGAAAAAUGUGCGCUCUCUGUGCUGUUCCCCACUCCGCUCCGGAGAAAGCUGCCCAGCUGCAUUCCUCACCAUGAUUUCCUAUUGUUGAUACGCUACAGAGACGCCCUGAUCCUGAAUGAUUGUCAUGCCUGUGGAUGCCACAUGCAAGUACCUGCAGAAUUGAAUUGUCCUUCCAACCCCAUAUUGACCUGUGCAUCCAUGUUCAUGGAAGAGCCCCGGCUCUUGUGCUCCCUCACAGAGAUGAGAGAGUGUUUGGAGGCUCAGGUGAAAAGGAAGGGCUGGACCAGAGGUGGGAGAAAGGGAGAGUGCCAGGAAC